rnacentral:tRNA from 1 species
GGCUGCAGCUCAGUGGUAGAGCACUUGCCUAGCAUGUAUGAGGCCCUGGGUUUGACCCUCAGCACCA